UGAAGCGGUGUGAAAAACUCUGGUGGUAUACGAUGGUUCCGCGUCUGAUUAGCUAGUUGGUGGGGUAAUGGCCUACCAAGGCAACGAUCAGUAGCCGGCCUGAGAGGGUGAACGGCCACAUUGGGACUGAGACACGGCCCAAACUCCUACGGGAGGCAGCAG
rnacentral:rRNA from 1 species